GAUGAACGCUGGCGGCGUGCCUAACACAUGCAAGUCGAGCGAUUUACUUCGGUAAAGAGCGGCGGACGGGUGAGUAACGCGUGGGUAACCUGCCCUGUACACACGGAUAACAUACCGAAAGGUAUGCUAAUACGAGAUAAUAUACUUUUAUCUCAUGGUAGAAGUAUCAAAAGCUCUGGCGGUACAGGAUGGACCCGCGUCUGAUUAGCUAGUUGGUAAGGUAACGGCUUACCAAGGCGACGAUCAGUAGCCGACCUGAGAGGGUGAUCGGCCACAUUGGAACUGAGACACGGUCCAAACUCCUACGGGAGGCAGCAGUGGGGAAUAUUGCACAAUGGGCGAAAGCCUGAUGCAGCAACGCCGCGUGAGCGAUGAAGGCCUUCGGUCGUAAAGACUCUGUCUCAGAAGAUAAUGACGGUACUUGAGGAGGAAGCCCGGCGUAACUACGUAGCCAGCAGCCGCGGUAAU
rnacentral:rRNA from 1 species